CUCCGUUGAUCCUGCCGGACCCGACUGCUAUCAGAGUGGGACUAAGCCAUGCGAGUCAACAUAGCAAUAUGUGGCAUACGGCUCAGUAACACGUAGUCAACAUGCCCAGGGGACGUGGAUAACCUCGGGAAACUGAGGAUAAACCGCGAUAGGUCAUCACUUCUGGAAUGGGUAAUGACUUAAAUCUAUAUGGCCCCUGGAUUGGACUGCGGCCGAUCAGGCUGUUGGUGAGGUAAUGGCCCACCAAACCUGUAACCGGUACGGGCUCUGAGAGGAGGAGCCCGGAGAUGGGCACUGAGACAAGGGCCCAGGCCCUAUGGGGCGCAGCAGGCGCGAAACCUCUGCAAUAGGCGAAAGCUUGACAGGGUUACUCUGAGUGAUUUCCGUUAAGGAGAUCUUUUGGCACCUCUAAAAAUGGUGCAGAAUAAGGGGUGGGCAAGUCUGGUGUCAGCCGCCGCGGUAAUACCAGCACCCCGAGUGGUCGGGACGUUUAUUGGGCCUAAAGCAUCCGUAGCCGGUUCUACAAGUCUUCCGUUAAAUCCACCUGCUUAACAGAUGGGCUGCGGAAGAUACUAUAGAGCUAGGAGGCGGGAGAGGCAAGCGGUACUCGAUGGGUAGGGGUAAAAUCCGUUGAUCCAUUGAAGACCACCAGUGGCGAAGGCGGCUUGCCAGAACGCGCUCGACGGUGAGGGAUGAAAGCUGGGGGAGCAAACCGGAUUAGAUACCCGGGUAGUCCCAGCUGUAAACGAUGCAGACUCGGUGAUGAGUUGGCUUAUUGCUAACUCAGUGCCGCAGGGAAGCCGUUAAGUUUGCCGCCUGGGGAGUACGGUCGCAAGACUGAAACUUAAAGGAAUUGGCGGGGGAGCA
rnacentral:rRNA from 1 species